rnacentral:rRNA from 1 species
GCCCCCCCCCCUGUGGCCUUGGACACCCGGGUCCAAAACUCUCUCCCGGGGAGGCCACCAAUGGGGGAAAAUUGGGCCAAAAGGCGGCAAACCCUUGUGCCCCCCGGUAACCCCCCUGUGGAAGAUUUACCCCCUUUCCGGGGUGUUAAACCCCCCCUUUUGCCAAAGGGAAAGAAUGGAUUGCCGGGUCCCUUCCGGAAUAAGCCCCGGCCUAACUUUCGGCCCAACAGCCCCCGGUAAUACCGAAGGGGUCAAGCGUUACUCCGGAUCACCUGGGCGUAAAGCGCGCCAGGCGGCUGAAUAAGUUAGAUGUGAAAAGCCUACGGCUCAACCGUGGAACUGCAUCUAAAACUGUUCAAGCUAGAGUCUGGGAGAGGCAGGUGGAAUUAGUGGUGUAGGGGUAAAUCCGCAGAGAUCACUAGGAAUACCGGAAGCGAAGGCGACCUGCUGGAACAGUACUGACGCUGAGGCGCGAAAGCUGGGGAGCAAACAGGAUUAGAUACCCUGGUAGUCCACGCCCUAAACGAUGGAUGCUAGUCGUUGGGGUGCCAGUCACCUCAGUGAUGCAGCUAACGCGAUAAGCAUCCCGCCUGGGGAGUACGGCCGCAAGGCUAAAACUCAAAGGAAUAGACGGGGACCCGCCACAAGUGGUGGAGCAUGUGGUUUAAUUCGAAGAUACGCGAAGAACCUUACCUGGCCUUGACAUCCCGAGAACCCUCCAGAGAUGGAGGGGUGCCCCUUUUGGGGAACUCGGUGACAGGGUGCUGCACGGCUGUCGUCAGCUCGUGUCGUGAGAUGUUGGGUUAAGUCCCGCAACGAGCGCAACCCUCGCCCUUAGUUGCUAACAGGUUAAGCUGAGCACUCUAAGGGGACUGCCUGGGCAACCAGGAGGAAGGUGAGGACGACGUCAAGUCAUCAUGUCAAGGCGAUCCGCCGCUAAUUCAAUUCGCCCUUUCAUCGAUCGAUCAUCUGCC